UAGGGAAUAUUGCACAAUGGAGGAAACUCUGAUGCAGCGACGCCGCGUGAGUGAUGAAGGCCUUCGGGUCGUAAAACUCUGUGAUAAGGGAAGAUGAUGACGGUACCUUAUCAGAAAAGACCGGCUAACUUCGUGCCAGCAGCCGCGGUAAUACGAGGGGUCUAAGCGUUGUUCGGAAUCACUGGGCGUAAAGCGGGUGUAGGUGGCUAUGCAAGUUGGAUGUGAAAGCCCCGGGCUCAACCCGGGAAGUGCAUCCAAAACUACGUAGCUUGAGUGCGGGAGAGAAAGGCAGAAUUCCUGGUGUAGUGGUGAAAUACGUAGAUAUCAGGAGGAACUCCGGUGGCGAAGGCGGCCUUUUGGCCCAGCACUGACACUCAGACCCGAAAGCGUGGGUAGCAAA
rnacentral:rRNA from 1 species